UAGGGAAUCUUCCACAAUGGACGCAAGUCUGAUGGAGCAACGCCGCGUGAGUGAAGAAGGUCUUCGGAUCGUAAAACUCCGUUGUUAGAGAAGAACACGAGUGAGAGUAACUGUUCAUUCGAUGACGGUAUCUAACCAGCAAGUCACGGCUAACUACGUGCCAG
rnacentral:rRNA from 1 species